rnacentral:rRNA from 1 species
AUUUUUUUGAGUUUGAUGAUGGCUCUGAUUGAACGCUGUCCAAGUACUUGACACAUGCUAAUCGAACGACGACGCUUCCAAACGGAAGCGUCGUAGUGGUGUACAGGUGAGUAAAAGAUAAUUUGGCUACCUUAAAGUAAGGGAAAAAUCCCUUAUAAAAGAAAGGAAUAAAAAAGGUCCGCUUUAAGAUGUUAAUCUUUAUCUCGGUGAGUAGUAGGAAAGGUAACGACUUUUCUAGCUAAUAACCGUAGUCGUGACUGAGAGGUCGAUCGACCACAUUGGGUCUGAAAAAACCCCAAUGCGUUUUUAGUACAGCAGUGAGGAAUAUUGGUCAAUGGCCGAAAGGCUGAACCAGUAACUUGGAAGAAUGAAAAAAUGUAUUUAAAUAAUACAUUAA